UCUCCUUCCCCACCUCUCUGCCUUGAUGGGCUUGGAGGGAUGCAGUUUCAGUGACCGCCGAUGUAUUGCUUUACUUCUGGUACACCAGUGUGACUUUCGUUGCCUCGAGUGCAUUGGGCCCAUGGUGGGGACUGCCUUAUUUAUCAGGAUGCGGUUUGGGUACCGUGUGGAAGGAAACUCUUCUGCUUCAUAUAGGGUCAUUUUACUUUCCAGCUUUUUCCAGAAUGCUUCAAAGAGAGCAUCUAGUCUUUGGAGAAUAGUGCUCUUCUCUCUUCCUAGCGAUGGUGUAC